rnacentral:rRNA from 1 species
GACGAACGCUGGCGGCGUGCCUAAUACAUGCAAGUUGAGCGCUGAAGGUUGGUACUUGUACCAACUGGAUGAGCAGCGAACGGGUGAGUAACGCGUGGGGAAUCUGCCUUUGAGCGGGGGACAACAUUUGGAAACGAAUGCUAAUACCGCAUAAAAACUUUAAACACAAGUUUUAAGUUUGAAAGAUGCAAUUGCAUCACUCAAAGAUGAUCCCGCGUUGUAUUAGCUAGUUGGUGAGGUAAAGGCUCACCAAGGCGAUGAUACAUAGCCGAACUGAGAGGGUGAUCGGCCACAUUGGGACUGAGACACGGCCCAAACUCCUACGGGAGGCAGCAGUAGGGAAUCUUCGGCAAUGGACGAAAGUCUGACCGAGCAACGCCGCGUGAGUGAAGAAGGUUGUCGGAUCGGAAAACUCUGUUGGUAGAGAAGAACGUUGGUGAGAGUGGAAAGCUCAUCAAGUGACGGUAACUACACAGAAAGGGACGGCUAACUACGUG